rnacentral:misc_RNA from 1 species
UCCUCCCUUUCCCCACCAUCCAUCACCGACCCAUCAUCAGUCCUAACCCGAUCAUUCUCUCCAGAGCCAAUUAUCCUAAUUGAAACUUCCCCGUUACUAGAAGUAGUUGAUCCAGAGGAGUUGGGAGUAGGAUUAUCAGGAAGGAGCAAAUCGGUUUCUGGGUUUUCGGGUCGGACUCGGAGCAAACCGGAAUAUUCAAGGAAAGUAGAAAGUGGGUAUCUGAAAACCCGGAGAGGAGAUAGAUUAACUCCAAAGGCUGUUGAAUUUGAAGUAUGUGGAGAUGAACUAGAAUUAGAAUUGGAAUUUGGGUUUCUGUCAAAAUCUGAAACGCUUGAAGAAGUCGUAGUCUCCAUCAAUGGAAGACUAUGAAGUUUUGGUUAUGUGAUAAGAUAACACAAAGUAGUUUUGUAGCUGUGAAGAGUUGGGAAG